rnacentral:rRNA from 1 species
AUUGAACGCUGGCGGCAGGCCUAACACAUGCAAGUCGAACGGCAGCACGGGAGCAAUCCUGGUGGCGAGUGGCGAACGGGUGAGUAAUAUAUCGGAACGUGCCCAGUCGUGGGGAUAACGUAGCGAAAGCUACGCUAAUACCGCAUACGAUCUAUGGAUGAAAGCGGGGGAUCGCAAGACCUCGCGCGAUUGGAGCGGCCGAUAUCAGAUUAGGUAGUUGGUGAGGUAAAGGCUCACCAAGCCGACGAUCUGUAGCUGGUCUGAGAGGACGACCAGCCACACUGGGACUGAGACACGGCCCAGACUCCUACGGGAGGCAGCAGUGGGAAUUUGGACAAUGGGCGCAAGCCUGAUCCAGCAAUGCCGC